CCCUCAUUCUUUAAAAAAAGAGGGCUUUUUAAGAAAACACCCUUUAAGAAAAAGUUUUUUAUAAAAUUAAAGAAAAACUUUCUUGUAAGAGUGUAUUUUUUAUCUAAGAGUUUGCUCUUUUAUUUGAGAGUUUGCUUUUUUAAGAGUUUUCCGGGGAAGGUUUUCCGGUUUAUCCCGGAGGGCUUGUAGCUCAGUUGGUUAGAGCGCGCGCUU
rnacentral:misc_RNA from 1 species